UACGAAGGGUGCAAACGUUGCUCGGAAUUAUUGGGCGUAAAGAGCUCGUAGGCGGCUUGUCGCGUCGAAUGUGAAAACCCGGGGCUCAACUCCGGGCCUGCAUUCGAUACGGGCAGACUAGAGUUCGGUAGGGGAGACUGGAAUUCCUGGUGUAGCGGUGAAAUGCGCAGAUAUCAGGAGGAACACCGGUGGCGAAGGCGGGUCUCUGGGCCGAUACUGACGCUGAGGAGCGAAGGCGUGGGGAGCGAACGGG
rnacentral:rRNA from 1 species